AGCCAGGAAGGAGGAGGCAGCCAGAGUGUUCUCUGCAGCAGAAGACCCCUUGCUGCCCUGCUUAACCCAGACCAGCAUUUGCCAGGAAAAGAUUAUUUCAGCUCCUUUUUACAUCUGGGCCUAGUCUGUGAUCUGAGAACACCUGAGGAGCAGCACUGCUGAAGCUAAACUGGGAUCAUUUGCACAACAGGACAAGCACAGAACUUCAGAUCUCCAGGAAUCGGCAUCAAUCUCCAAGUGACGACUGAAAGUUUUAAUGACUUGAUCUUGUGAAAUAUAUUGGAAACAAUAUUGGGUGGGGGGUGAUCUCUAGGAAUAGCUUCAGUUAGAGUUAAGUCAUUUUCCUGAUGUAAAUUGACACCUAAAGCUGCCAUUUGCCUCAGUAUAUGGCAUGAUAUAUGUGCAUUUUGCCCUACUGCGCAAAUAGGAGAUUUAGGGGAGUGAUUUCCAUGGAGCCAUCAUAGGAACAUAUAAAGCUGCCUUCUACCGAGUCAGACCAUUGGUCCAUCUAGCUUAGUAUUGUCUAGUCCAGGGAUCCUCAACGUUGGGCCCCCAGAUGUUAGUGGACUUCAACUCCCAUAAUCCCAAGCCCCAGUGGACUUUGGUUGGGA